GACGGGGGGUCCAAGCGUUGUUCGGAAUCAUUGGGCGUAAAGCGUGUGCAGGUGGUUUUGUAAGUUGGAUGUGAAAGCCCCGGGCUUAACCCGGGAAGUGCAUUCAAAACUGCAAAACUUGAGUAUGGAAGAGGGUCGUGGAAUUCCAGGUGUAGUGGUGAAAUGCGUAGAGAUGUGGAGGAAUACCGAUGGCGAAGGCAGCCUCCUGGGCCAACACUGACGCUCAUGCACGAAAGCGUGGGGAGCAAACAGG
rnacentral:rRNA from 1 species